AAAACUUUUAAUAAUAGAUCUCUUAGUUCUAGUAUUAAUAAAGAACAUAGUAAAAUACAAUAAGUAAUAUAAAUUAUAGAAUUUAGUAAAUUAUUAAAUCUUUAAACAUAUAUUACGCCUACUAGCAUUCUAGUAGGCAUGCCUAUUUAAGUAUUAUUUUAACCCUUAAGCUUCACUUAGUGUUAGGGUACUAUAGUUAAUAUAGGCCCUUAAAAGUAGUAGUAGACCCUACUAAAGCCUCCUUUAUAUAGUAACUAACAUCUCGUAUUAAGAUCUAGAGGGACUCUUACUAUAAAACCCCCUAACUUUUAACUAGUUAACCUUAGAUUAGGUAGGAAUACCUACUAAACUUAAGCAUAUUAAUAAGUAGAGGAAAAGAAACUAAUAGGGAUUACCCUAGUAAUAGCAAGUAAAGUAGUAACAGCUUAAAUUUAAAAUCUAGCCCUAGGCCUAAGUUGUAAUUUAUAGAGGAUGCUUUUAGUAUAGUGCCUUCUAAGUUCCUUAGAAUAGGACGCUAUAGAGGGUAAGAGCCCUAUAUAGUUAGACACUAAGCCUUUAUAAAGCUCCUUUAAUAAGUUAAGUAGUUUAGGAAUACUACUUAAAAUAGGAGGUAUAUUUCUUCUAAAGCUAAAUAUUAGCUAGAGACUAAUAGUAUAUAAGUAGAGUAAUUAAAAGAUAAAAAGUACUUUAAAAAGAGGGUUAAAUAGUACGUAAAAUUAUUAAAAGGGAAGUACUUAUAACUAGACUUACGCCUAGUAAAUUACCUAGCUCUUACGGCUAGGGUACUUUACUAGUAUAGGCUAGUAUUAGCUUGCUAUUAGGGAUAAAAGCUUUAGGAAUAUAGCUCCUUUUAGGGAGUAUUAUAGCCUAUUAUAUAAUACCCUUUAGUAGGCUAAGGUACACACUCUAUAAGGAUGCUAGUAUAAUAGUUAUUAGCAACCUAUCUUAAAAUAUAGACUAAGAAGUUAACCUUAUAUAUAAGUAUUUAGGUGUUAAACCCCUAUGCGUAAUAAAAGUAAAUAUAGAUAAGAGCUUUAGCGUAUUAUUAACUAAUCCUAAUAUUCUUAGAUAGAUUUAAGUAAGAGCAUAUAGGGUUAGACCUAAAAGAAGGUAAACUAUAUGUAUAUAAGGUAAAGCUAGAGGAAACUCUAGUAGAGGCUUAUAGUAGUUCUAACAUGUAAAUUAAUUAUUAAAUAUAUGUAUAGGGGUAAAAGACUAAUUAAACCUUCUAGUAGCUAGUUUCUACUAAAGUUUCCCUUAGGAUAGUAGUAUUAAACUUAGUUUUAUAAGGUAAAGUAAAUAAUUAGGGACUUAGGGGUGCUAUAUAGCCUUUAUCUAUUCUUAAACUUUAAAUAUAUAAGAAGCCCUUAUUACUUUAUUAAACGUAGGUAUUUAAAUAUAUUAAUACUAGUAGGCUAUUUUUAGUAAGUAGAACUAGUGAUGCGGGAUGAACUAAACGUAAGGUUAAGGUACUAGAGUAGUUACUUAUUAGACACUACAAAAGGUGUUAGUAUAUCUUAAUAGUAGGAUAGUAGCUAUAGAAGUUAGAAUCUACUAAGGACUAUAUAACAACUUACCUACUAAAUAUACUAGCCUUAAAAAUAGAUAGCACUUAAGUAACUUACCCAUACCUCGCCCUUAGUAUAGAAACAAUACGCUAAGGAGUAGGCAGACAUAGAGGUUAGUAACGAAGCCUAGGGCGUAAGCCUAGGUAGAACAGCCUCUAGUAUAGAUCUUAGUAGUAGUAGUAAAUACUUUAAUAAGAACUUAAAGGACUAAAGUAGGGAAAGGUUCUAUAUAAACAGUAGUUAGAUAUAGGUUAGUUAAUCCUAAGCCAUAGGGAAGUUCUAUUUUAAAGGGGUACUUAUACCUUAUAUAGCAAAAGGGAAGCUAGUUAAUAUUCUAGUACCUAGAUAUAGGUUUUACGUAGUAAUAUAACUAAACGUAGAGACAACAGUAGGGGCCCUAGGUAGAGUUCUCUUUUCUUCUUAAUAGUUUAUUACCCUAAAAUUAGUUUGUCUAGAGCUAGGGUUUAACAGCUAGAAGAGCCUAAUACUUCUAUUAGGUCUAGUACGCUCUUAACAUCCCUUAAAAAUCCAUAGGAAGGAAUAAUUCUUACGCUAGGUUGUACUUAUAACUAUAGUAGGUCUUUAAGGUAAAUAGCCUCUAGUUAAUAGAAUAAUAUAGAUAAGGGAAGUUAGUAAAAUAGAUCUAUAACUUUAGGAUAAGGAUUAGCUCUAAGGGUUAGGUAUAUUAGGCUUUAGGUAGACAGCUUAGGAGUAGGUCGCUACUAGCCGGGUAACUAGCUGGAGGCUUCUAGUAUCUAGGUUCUAACGCCUUUAGUAGGCUUUAGCUAUCUAGCAUAUAGUUAAUAACCAACUUAGAACUAGUACAGACAAGGGGAAUCUAACUGUCUAAUUAAAAUAUAGCAUUAUAAUAGCUAGAAAGUAGUGUUAACGUAAUAUGAUUUCUACCUAGUGCUCUAAAUAUUAAAGUAAAGUAAUUUAACUAAGUAUAGGUAAAUAGUAGGAGUAACUAUAACUCUCUUAAGGUAGCUAAAUACCUUAUUAUCUAAUUAGUAACGCGUAUAAAUAGAUUAACAAGAUUCCUACUAUCCUUAUCUACUAUCUAGUAAAACUAUAGCUAAGGGAAUAGGCUUAGUAGAAUUAGUAGGGAAAGAAGACCCUAUUAAGCUUAACUCUAGUUUAAUAUUAUAAAAAGACAUAAGAGGUAUAGAAUAGGUAGGAGCUUUAGUACUAGUAAAAUACUACUACUCCUAUUGUUUUUUUACUUAUUUAAUAAAGCGGGGCUGGAUUUAUGUCUAACUUCUAGUUUUAAGGUCCUUUAUAGGCCGACCUAGGUUAAAGAUAUUAUUAGGUAGGGAGUUUAGCUAGGGCGGCACAUCUAUUAAACUAUAACAUAGGUGUCCUAAGGGGGGCUUAUAGAGAAUAGAAAUCUCUAGUAGAACAAAAGGGUAAAAGUCCCCUUAAUUUUAAUUUUUAGUAUGAAUACAAACCAUAAAAGUAUAGCCUAUUAAUCCUUUAGUCCCUUAAAAUUUAAGGCUAGAGGUACUAGAAAAGUUACUAUAGGGAUAACUAGCUUAUAGUAGCUAAGCAUUCAUAGUAAUAUCGCUUUUUAAUCCUUUAAUAUUAGCUCUUCCUAUUAUACUAAAGCAGAAUUUAGUAAGUAUUAGAUUGUUUACCUACUAAUAGGGAAUAUAAGCUAGGUUUAGACUAUUAUAAGAUAGGUUAGUUUUACCCUACUAAUAACCUUAUUGUAAUAGUAAUUAAGCUUAGUAUAAGAGGAACUACUUAUUUAGAUAAUUAGUUUUUAUGGCUGUCCGACUAGGUAGUACCAUAACACUACUAUCUACUAGAUAAUAGCUAAACGCCUCUAAGUUAGAAUUUAUGCUAGAACAUAAUAAUACCUCCUAUAUAUAUAGAUAGACAUAAAUAGGCUUUAGCUUAGCAUUUUAGUAGGUAAUUCCUCUACUACUCUUAAAGAAAGUAGUAGUAUUUUAUAAAUUAUAAUUUU
rnacentral:rRNA from 1 species